CAGAUCCUUUUCCGGCAAUACAUUUGAUUUGCGGCUCAAGACCGUGUUUCCUCCUCUCCUCUCAAAGGGAUUGAAAUCUCUCAAGAAUAUAACUUGCCGGUUCAUUUAAUCUACAAACUUCUGAGCUGAAGACGUUGUCCGCCCUCUUGUGGCCAUUAUGCACCAUUGCUGGAGUAGCUGGGUGAAACCUUCAGGCUCAAAUAGAGCCUUAAUGAAGACCAGCCCUCUUAUUGCACAGACAGGUUAGAAAGACAGGCCUAGAGAAGGCAGAGAGUGCCCCAAAUUUGCCAGUGGUAACUCUGAGGAUCCUCAGGUUUAAGAACCCAGAUCACCUGCCUACCUGCCCGUCCACCAAAGUUUCAUCACUUGGCCAGACCAUCCUCCCACCAUACCCUGUCAACAUCAUCCAAGCCCAAAGGAUCUGAAGGUUUUCACAGAAUAUUGAGUAGAGUUCCCUGUGCUAUGCAGUGAGUCCCGAUUGGUUGUCAAUCUUAUUGAGUGCAGCGGGCCGACAUGGUGGAGCUGCUCGGGGCCGCGGCCGUUAGCCGAGAUCACCUACGGGGAGCUCGUGGAAGGCACGGGCGGCCUGGAGGAGGG
ensembl:lncRNA